GAUGAAGAACGUAGCGAAAUGCGAUAAGUAAUGUGAAUUGCAGAAUUCAGUGAAUCAUCGAAUCUUUGAACGCACAUUGUGCCCCUUGGUAUUCCGAGGGGCAUGCCUGUUCGAGCGUCAUUAUAACCCCUCAAGCUUAGCUUGGUGUUGGGGCCUGCUGUAAUAGAGCAGCCCUUAAAAUCAGUGGCGGUGCCAUUAGGCUCUAAGCGUAGUAAUUCUUCUCGCUAUAGGGUUCUGGUGGAUGCUUGCCAUUAACCUCUAAUUUUCUAUGGUUGACCUCGGAUCAGGUAGGGAUACCCGCUGAACUUAAGCAUAUCAAUAAGCGGAGGA
rnacentral:misc_RNA from 1 species